AACAAAACAACAACAAAUACGUCAAAAACUAUAAAAAAAAAUAAAUUAUUUAAUUUUUUUUACCAAAUAUUUAAAUGGGCCACUAGAGGGCGCUCGAGGACCACGAGUGGUCCGCGGACCAGCCUUUGACUACAGGCCGCCCCAGACCCACUUGUCUCAGCUCGCCGGGCUCCAAAGGGGGCGGACACCGAGAGGAGACGUCCUUGAGGCCGAGGACCGGCUCCGUGUUCCCGGGAAACUCACAGACUGUAGCCGCCCCUCUGCUGCGACAACAUGUGGUCAGCUGUGGUCAGAGCCUCGCAUGGUGGUGAAGUGGAGGGGUUGGGGCGGUGCACCGGGACGACAACACCGACAGACGGAGGUUAAAAUGGAACUCAGGUGACGUCACUGCCUUUGGGUCCGACAUGUCUGUUAUAUCUUGUCUGUACUGUUGUUACAAAGUUGUUGUUUUUUAAAAAAAAGAAACGGUGUUUUAUUUUUUAGCGUUAGCUUAGCAUCAUGUUACCGCGGUGUUUACAGUAAAAACACAAGCGUAACUACGUCACGAAUGAGCCGCCGCUAAAUUAUUAUUAUUUUCACUCUUUGCUGUUUUGUUGUUUGUCGUUCUGUUAAAUAUAUAUAUAUAUAUUUUUUUACAUUUACUUUUCCAAAUAUACAUGUUCGACAUUUUGAUACGUCGUCGUUGUGAUUUUAUUUCGAAAGAACAAAACCGGAAGUUACGGUUUGUGUUUACAGCCACGAGCGAAGACAAACAAAAUGAGUGACGUCUGAUUUAUUUUCACUGCAGAUUCUAUUUUAUUUAUUUUUGUUUGUUUAUUUAUUUACAGCUAUUAGUUACUUUAAACUUUAGAAUUUUUUUCUGUAAAUUACGAUGUUUUUUUGUUGUUUUUUUUUACAUACACGAUGUGGUGUUUUCAAUAAAACACGUAUUUUUUUUUCUUUACCAACAUUUUCGGUACAAUAGGGAAUGACGUCAUAUCAACACGUUGACUUUUGUUGUUGGUCCAAAUUGUAAGACAUUUAAAACGUUCUAAUUUUAUAGUAAGAUU